AUCCGGAUGACGAGUCCAAAAUAGGGUGAAAUACGCGUAAUCCUGGAU
rnacentral:hammerhead_ribozyme from 1 species